rnacentral:sRNA from 1 species
AUCAUAGGAACUCAGUCCAAAAAUAUCGUAUGCUAAGAUAACGACUGAGUUACCAACAUCGUGUGGG